ACUAAUAUCGUCUGAAGUGGUUCAUCUAUUUACAGCGUAUUUAUUUCAGUGAAUUUUGAUCCAUUUGUUUCGAUUUAAUUGUAGGCCACUGUGUUUUCAUAUAUCUCACGACUCCCGGUCUUAUAACAAGUGUCUGCUGGUUAGUCAACAAACAUCCGUUUGCAGGCAAUCUGAAGUGAGAGAACCCACCAUAUGGAAAAUACCCCAAGGAAAAACCAAUUAAAGUCUCGGGUCUCUCCCUUUUGAUGGUAACCCCUGCGAAUGAACGUGCUUAAAUAUCCGGCCAAUUAGUGCGAUAGACGGCUCGAGGGCGAAAGAAGGCUUUGUGGUGUAAAAGAGAAUCCAUCGCCGAGUACUGAUAUUGGAGCUAAUGGGAAAUCUUCUGAUCGAUUUCCAGAACAUCCUAUGAGUUUGAAGAGCGGGGAUGUAACAUCCGGAGAUAGUGAACUCGAAAUUCCAAUCGUUGAUGAUGAAAAAGACGUUCCCCUUACGCCGCUUAAAGAAAAAUAAAGCUGCUGGUGGUGAGUGAAGAGCUAACAAGAUCAAUGCUUCUUAGUUGAACGAAAGAAUAUCCAGCGAUUGGACGACGUGAAGUGUGCUCUGUGCAAUCCAGUAAAAGGAGGAUCCUAUGGCCUGCACCAAUUACCGUAGGAAUAAUAUCCUUAAUAUCGCCUAUAAGGUACUGUCGAGCGUACUGUGUAAAAUACUAAAGGCCUCUGUCCGCGAAUUAAUGUGAUCUUGUCAAUCCACCAUUGGACUUAUCCGAGCCGUUUGUCACCAAACAAAGUUUUAGACAGCGUGUCUCUUCAUCGUACGAUUUUCUCAAUUUGAUGCUGGACAAAUAUAUGGAAA